rnacentral:lncRNA from 1 species
CGAGAGGAUGGGGCCUCGUGGGCCCGCCUCCGAGUGCGGCCGCCGCCAAUGGGGAGCCGCGGGGCGGAGGCCAUCUUGGUAAAGGAAAGCCGUCGGAGAAAGGGGGCUCGGGAGUCUGGCCCCACUCCCGGGGGCCUCCUUCGGGCUUUCCUCGGCGGGGGACGCUGGGGCGCUUGGGCCGUCCCUUCGCCGGCUCGUUUUGCGACGGGGAAGCGGAGGCCGGUAGGGUUCGGGAACGUGCCCAGGACGCCCCCAGCUCGGGCGAGUCUGGGCCGGGGUUUGGGCUCCGGCCCUCGGGACUGCGGAGGGGCCCAACCCGCCCGAUCUCGUUACGUCGGGCGGGCCGUGAUCGUUACAUGGAGCGCUUGGGACCGGAGCGCUGGAAAGUUGGCCGAGGACUUUACGUGGCUUAACUCCUUCGGGAAGCCCCGCUGGGGGCCAGGCGGCGUGCUAAGUGCUGGGGAAACAAAGGCAGCAAAACGGCCCUCCGGCAGCCUCCGAUCGAAUGCGGGCGCGCUCACGCGACCCGGGCACGAGCAGACCCUUCCCGCUCCCCCCCUCCCUCCGAGGGGCUGGGGGCCCGCGGCGGGGGAGAUGCAUCCUCUGGGCCUCCCCAGUUUGCUAAGUAGGGAUCUGUCAGAGCUUGUGUCCUUCCAUGCCGACGCAAAGAAAAUUUUAUUGGAGAAUAAUAGGAAAGGGGAGAACCAACGAAUGCGUGCAGAGUCCAUCUGGGUGCAUGCCCCCAGCCUGCAGAUAAGCUCGCUGAAAGUAAGCGUGGUUCCCUUGUUUGUGCGCGCUGCCCUCGGCCUCUCGCCCAGGAAGCAUCCGAAGCCGGAUUUGAACCCCUGAAGAUGUGUUCCAGGCCUGGCACCCUCCCGGCCACACCUGGCCGCCCUUACUAAAAGCUUAGGUAGUGACCGACUGGUGGAAACUUUUUUUCCCCCUAGCAGUCGGGAUCGAUCGAUAUUCCGCCGCCAAAAUAGUCUUGUAAGGGAUAGGUCCGACCAAGUCAUUCCCCUGGCCAACGAUCGCCAGCGGUUCCCCAGGGCAAGGCCGCGGGGUCCCUCUGCACGAGUCCCCAUCAGGUUAUUUCUUUGAUCCACCAGUCAUGGAUAACCUCGCCUUCAAAACGCCAUUGCUUCCAUAGCUUGCUUGCCACACCUGGAUGGCAUCGACUCUUCUCUGUCAGGAGAAACCCUUAUUUUCCUUCAAAGCCCAGCCUUGGUUCCCUUUCCCUCUUCAGGUCCAGUUGCUCACUGCUGUCCAAUCCCUGAUGUGAUUUGGGUUCUUCUUAGCCAAUAAAUUUAUCAGUGAUAAUGCUUGUUGAUUGGUUG